rnacentral:rRNA from 1 species
GUUAUCGUUUAUUUGAUAGUACCUUACUACUUGGAUAACCGUGGUAAUUCUAGAGCUAAUACAUGCUAAAAAUCCCGACUUCGGAAGGGAUGUAUUUAUUAGAUAAAAAACCAAUGCCCUUCGGGGCUCCUUGGUGAAUCAUAAUAACUUAACGAAUCGCAUGGCCUUGCGCCGGCGAUGGUUCAUUCAAAUUUCUGCCCUAUCAACUUUCGAUGGUAGGAUAGUGGCCUACCAUGGUAUCAACGGGUAACGGGGAAUUAGGGUUCGACUCCGGAGAGGGAGCCUGAGAAACGGCUACCACAUCCAAGGAAGGCAGCAGGCGCGCAAAUUACCCAGUCCCGACACGGGGAGGUAGUGACAAUAAAUACUGAUACAGGGCUCUUUAGGGUCUUGUAAUUGGAAUGAGUACAAUUUAAAUCCCUUAACGAGGAACAAUUGGAGGGCAAGUCUGGUGCCAGCAGCCGCGGUAAUUCCAGCUCCAAUGGCGUAUAUUAAAGUUGUUGCAGUUAAAAAGCUCGUAGUUGAACCUUGG